rnacentral:rRNA from 1 species
AUUGAACGCUGGCGGCAGGCUUAACACAUGCAAGUCGAGCGAGCGGCGGACGGGUGAGUCAUGUAUGGGAAACUGCCAAAUGGCGGGGGAUAACUACUGGAAAGGGUAGCUCAUACCGCAUCCCAUCAGCGCUGCCCCGAUAGGAUUAGCUAGUUGGUGGGGUAACGGAUCACGAAGGAGACGAUCCAUAGCUGGUUUGAGAGGACGACGAGCCACACUGGAACUGAGACACGUGCCAGACUCCUACGGGAGGCAGCAGUGGGGAAUAUUGCACAAUGGGAGAAAGCCUGAUGCAGUCAUGCGGCGUGUAUGAAGAAGGCCUUCGGGUUGUAAAGCACUUUCAGCGGGGAGGCGUUACUCGCAGAAUAAGCACCGGCUAACGCCGUGCCAGCAGCCGCGGUAAUAG